rnacentral:rRNA from 1 species
UGGGGAAUUUUGGACAAUGGGGGCAACCCUGAUCCAGCCAUGCCGCGUGAGUGAAGAAGGCCUUCGGGUUGUAAAGCUCUUUCGGCGGGGACGAAACGGUUCGUGUUAACACCACGGACUAAUGACGGUACUCGCAGAAGAAGCACCGGCUAACUACGUGCCAGCAGCCGCGGUAAUACGUAGGGUGCAGGCGUUAAUCGCAAUUACUGGGCGUAAAGCGUGCGCAGGCGGCUCCUUAAGUCAGAUGUGAAAGCCCCGGGCUUAACCUGGGAACUGCGUUUGAAACUGGGGAGCUAGAGUGUAGAAGAGGGGGGUGGAAUUCCAGGUGUAGCAGUGAAAUGCGUAGAGAUCUGGAGGAACACCGAUGGCGAAGGCAGCCCCCUGGGCUAACACUGACGCUCAUGCACGAAAGCG